CUAAUGCUAAAGUCACACAUUUAUAUCAUUAUGCUUACGAGUUGAGAGCUGCUCUUCACUUUCUCUAAGGUGAGAAAAAAAAAGAUUGAUUGUGGAGCAACAAAAGUUUUAAUGUCUUUUAGUUUCCCAGAAAAUAAUUAACUAUGCAGCCAUUAAAAGUAGUAAUUUGGACUAAUCUUUGGAAACUAAAUAUAACAAUUUAUCUAACAGAAAAAACAUUUGAAUAUUAAAGUUUCGAUUUUUGUCUAUUAAUGUUAGAACCAAUACAAAAUCAC
rnacentral:lncRNA from 1 species